UUCUUGUGUCUUCCUCAGAAGACUUGUAGUGGCCUCUCUUAACCCAAUACGGGUCUGGAUAGACUAUGGACUUGAUGGGCCAUGACUUUACAUAGUAGGCUGUUUUACAUUUUAAAAAUUGUCUUGGAUUGUAAAGUCUCUGGGGGCAGGGACCUUGGCUUGAUACCCAGUUGGAACAUAUAGAAUGAUUGGCGGUGAAGCUUUGAGCAGAAGUUGUGUGUUAAAUAACUAGGGGGAAAGGAACCAGUUCAGAGUUAAUGGGACAGGGAACUGUGAGCUGUUACUGACACACUCUGCAGGAAAUUAAUCAAACAAGCCACUAGCCUUAUUGUAAGUUGUGAGCUACCCAACCACCGCAAGCAAGCUUUCUAAGGACUAGGAUGGGGAAGGUCAUACAUAGAGUACCCAGGUCUCAAUGCAUAAUGGUAGCUUGUUUCUUCCUGACUGUUGAUCUUAUUUCUUUGUGUAUUUCAGGUCGGUGUGGUGGGAGGGGUUGUUGCUGACUUCCUGAAAGCAUGCAUCUGUCUGCAUUGGGUUAAUCCUCCAGAAGCAGGUGAGCCACUGACUAACGCACAUUGUGCUGUUAAAGACUCCACUGUGCGUGUGACAGCGGCUAACCUGCUUUUCGGACAUCACUAUAUGUACUCCAUCCUGCCCCAUGAAGAGGCAAUGCUGGAUACUGGGGACUGCACCUAGCUUCCAUCAACAUGUCAGAAAGGAAAGCGCCGCUGCUACUCUGUCUUUUGCUGAGGAUGGUAGAAAAGGAACGGAGGGGGAACCACGCUGCGCGCACAGCUGAAACAAAACAGCGUGAGAUGGCAGCUGCGCAUGUGUGACACGGGAAUGCACCUCUAGGUGAAAAUCUCUAAUCGCCGUCACGAGGACGCACCAAGACCUGAGUGGAGCACCCACAGAGACACCACUCACAGGAGAACCAAUAUUCUAGACCUCACACUCCACCUUGGCCUGAGCGCACCCAGAUCUGCUGAAUGCUAAUUCUUGCUGUAAGGCUUUUGUUCUUGGGCUUUCAGGAUGAAGGAUGAGAAGGCUGAGAUCAGA